rnacentral:ncRNA from 1 species
GAAAGCCGGAUGCCGGAAAUCGGCACGUCCGGUUUGAUGAGCGGGGUUGGGAAACGGGACGACGCUCUGCGUCAGCACCCGCGCCCAACCUCGACUCUAC